rnacentral:rRNA from 1 species
GACGAACGCUGGCGGCGUGCCUAAUACAUGCAAGUAGAACGCUGAAGAGAGGAGCUUGCUCUUCUUGGAUGAGUUGCGAACGGGUGAGUAACGCGUAGGUAACCUGCCUUGUAGCGGGGGAUAACUAUUGGAAACGAUAGCUAAUACCGCAUAACAAUGGAUGACACAUGUCAUUUAUUUGAAAGGGGCAGUUGCUCCACUACAAGAUGGACCUGCGUUGUAUUAGCUAGUAGGUGAGGUAAUGGCUCACCUAGGCGACGAUACAUAGCCGACCUGAGAGGGUGAUCGGCCACACUGGGACUGAGACACGGCCCAGACUCCUACGGGAGGCAGCAGUAGGGAAUCUUCGGCAAUGGGGGCAACCCUGACCGAGCAACGCCGCGUGAGUGAAGAAGGUUUUCGGAUCGUAAAGCUCUGUUGUAAGUCAAGAACGGGUGUGAGAGUGGAAAGUUCACACUGUGACGGUAGCUUACCAGAAAGGGACGGCUAACUACGU